GGGUCGCGUAGCGCAGUGGAUUAGCGCGUCAGACUUCGGAUCUGAAGGUCGGGGGUUCGAAUCCCCUCGUGAUCGCCAUA